UGACCUUAUGAUGCAGUAAUUAUGCCCGUCUUUGACACCCUAUUUCCCCUUUUCCCCCCAACUUCAGGUUAGAAUUGAAACAGAUCCAGCUGACAGAACUCAGUUGCGGGUGACAAUUGCCUCAGGAGACCCUACACUGACAUUUGAGUUGAAGGAGUUCAUUAAAGAACAAUUAGUUAGCAUACCGUCAGUCCCCACAGCCCCUCGUGCAUCACCUGGACAGGCGCCACCAGCGCCUCCAGUAGCCCAACCGACCAGUUCGGCAGCAGCAUUAUCAGAUCCUGGGGCUCUGCUGGCUGGCUUGCUGUGACAGAGGAAGGUGAUAGCUGCCUGAGGAAUUGUUCAUUAAACAUUAAACACAAAAAAAAAAAAAAAAACCUGAUUUAUACCGCCUGCCCACCCGGUUUAUCCCUCCGAGUUAAAGAGGUUGAUCAAUCGUCGAUGAUGCAAGAGCUGGCGGGAAAUUAAGGGUGAGCUAAUUUGUGGUCGGCUUUGUGUCGUGAGUUGGGGAUUUUGAGGGGUUGGUCGGGGUUUUGAAAUUCUUUUCUGCACAUUGCAGUUGUGCCCAAGUGAGAUAGUUUUCUUUUUUCCUUUCUCGGGUUGAGGUUUUUGUUUCUUUUUCAUUUCAUUUUGUCAGUUCCCUGAUAGUGAAUUGGUUUCUGUAAUACCUAUAUUUGACAGCGUGUAAGAUAUCCCAUGUAGUAGACUAGUUGUAAAAGUAUGGCGUUGUUUGUUAGUCGUAACACCAUUAAAUAAGAAAAUUUAUUUGAUGAAAUAAAGAAGAAUGUGGAUGGGAUGCUGUUGCGCUC